UGAAAUGUGUUGUCGACAUUUCUCUAGUGGGCUUUAAUAAAGUUGUCUUUUUUUUUUGGUGAGCAGUUUGUAUUCUGUUUAAAAUGCUUUUCGAUACUUUUCUAUAUCGUUUCGAAUUACGCACUGGCUGCAUUAUCCUGGCAGUUUUGCAUUUGCUCUCAAGUCUUGGUGCUUUGGAAAAUGUCAUGCAUUUGACAGCAAUAUAUUUCGUUGUGGUUCUUACUGAAAGAGUAUGCGAAAUUGGUAUGAGCAUACUUUUGAUUUCUGCCGCCAUUAGAAGCAAUCGAUAUCUUUUAAAAAUUUGGAUGCUUUGCCUUUCGCCAGUUUAUCUAUUUAAUGUGUCUUAUGGAUGUUACGAAAGUCUAAUCAAAUAUGAUACACUUUUAGGUUUUAUCCUACUUAUUGCAAUAUGGACUAGGACCAGGGACAGUUUUGGAUCAGAAGUUUAUUAAAUAAUUAAAGCCAAGCCCAAUCACUAAUUAUUGGUAUAAAACUUUCACAAAUUUAUGAAACAUAGCCACUGUAAUACGUGAACGCCCUCUUUUCCUCUAACAACAAAAACAACAAGAAUAGGUAACAUAUUUUCAUAGCAUUUGAAUAACAGUAGACACCCGCAAACCCCCUUCCUUCUAGCAUCUCACACACAAAACAAAACAAAUCCAAACGAUUGAGAUGGCAAAGAAAGUUCAACGGGAAUGCCGCCGAAGCCGCCGCCUCCACCGCCAACAUUCGUAAGCCAGAUAUGCUGCGGCCCAGGGGCUGACUUACGGCCAACAAGCGAUAUUGAAGACCAAGACGAUGAUGAAGAUGAAGGCAAAGACUUGUGGUCUGAAGGCACUUAGACUAUUGGACCUUGAAGAGACCACAGCAACAAAAACAACAAAAAGUAUAAAAAAAGAAGUAGUAGUAGAAACCAACAACUACAACAACAGCAAUAUCAGAGCCAACAACUUCCAGUGAUUCAUAGACGGCGGCAGACACAGAGUAUUUGAAUUGCAAAAGACCAAAAUCGGUUUGAUUUUGUUGUUGCUGGAUUUUUUUGUAUCAUUUUUUUCAUUUUUUGACAUUUACGGAUCAUAACAAUAUACGCAACCAUUUUUGGCUGGCCAAAAUGCCUCUAGGGUAUCA